UCCGACCCGGAAGUGCUGUCGCCCGGAGCUGCCGCACCUGCAAUCAAUCCACCAGCUGCUGCCAAUCAACUACCAUCUUCAGCAGGGCUACUUAAUGGUGUGGCUGAGCGACAGACAGCGCUGGAGUAUUGCACUAAGCCUGGGAUUGACGGAGGAUUUACGGACACAAAGGAAGCACUUGGAGGAGAGACGGGCACUCACUACCACGCACGGGCUUACACGGAAGGAGGGACGCACUAUCACCAUUGUUGCACAUUUGAGUUGUUGUCACCUUGCUGCACUGUAAAUAAAUGCACUGUCCUUAUUCCUGAGCUCUGCGCCUGAGUCCACUCUUUAACCACCGUGACAAUCCAUUACUUUUGAGAGCGAGACUUUAAAUGCACAGAAGGUUAGAGAACUGUUCCACUUCAGAUGUGAUGAAGAGUCUAAAUAUUCAUAGGUUUAGGAGCCAAGCAGAGUUUCUUAUGCCCAUCAACACCUUUUUGUUUUUCAGUUUUCAGAUGAGAGGAAAUUGGUUAGGAUGUUUAGGAACAACCCAACAACCACCAAGGCUCAAGCCUGCCAAAAACUGGAAACUGUUGGAACAGCAGUGUCACUGUCCACCCUUCAAGUGAGUUUUACAUCACUAUGGUCUGAGACGUUGCUGACCAAGAAAUAAGCCCCUGCUCCAAAACCGAUACAUUCAAGCUCACCUGAAAUUCACAGGUUCCCAAAUGGACAAACAAAAUGCCUUCUGGAGAAAAUUUCUAUGGUCAGAUGAGACAAUGAUCGAGCUACUUGGCCACAAUGAUAAGUGGUAUGUUUGAAGGUAUAAAGGUGAGGCUUGCAAACCUAACAACACUGUAACAACUCUCAUGCAUAGUGGUGGUAGCGGGGCUGUUCUGCUGCCAGCUGUACUGGUACAUUGCACAAAAUGGAUGGAGUAAUGAAGAACAAGGGUUACUGCCAAAUUCUUCAACUUCACCUCAAACAGCUCAACAGCUGAAACUUGGAGACAAGUGGAUAUUACAACGGGAGAAUGUUGGAAAAAACACACAUCAAAACAGGGUUUGGAACAGAUAAAACAGGUUAACAUCAAGCCUUUUCUUCACAAAAACUGGAACUUCAACCCACUAUGCUUAGAAGCUGUGCCGUGGCAAGAAACCAACCAAUUUAUGUGACAUUUAACCAAAUAUUAGUGGGAGCAUAUGUCACGGUACUGGGCCUGUGACCCAGUGUUUUGGGUUUUUGGAUUAAGUUAUAUUCUUUGAUUUGUUGUUUUUCACAUUUUUGGUUCUCUUUAUUGUUUUCCCCUUGUGCUAUAUUUUUAGUUUUCUGUCACUGUGCCUUCCAUAUUACCUUCCAUAUUCCACGGUUAGUUACUCUUGUCUCUGUGUUUCUGGUUCCCUAGUUAGUCAUGCCUCCAUGUCACAGUGUCAAGUCAGUUUCUUUGUGUAGUUCUUGUUUCCUGUUUUACUUUGACAGUCUCAGUGUUUUCACUUUUGCUUCCUCCCUGUCUCAUUUUGUCAGAUUAAUCCCAGCUGUGUUUCCCUCCUGUUUCCCAUUACUUCGUUACACCCUUGUGUAUUUAAGCCCUGUGUUUUCCUUUCCCAGUUGUUGUGUCGUUCCCAUUUGCUGUGUAUGUUUCUCCAUAGUCAUCAUUUCCCUGGUUUCUUCAGAGUCUGUUCCUAGCUCCUUAGUUUUCUAGCUUUUCUGUUCUUGCUACUAGUUUCCAGUUUUAGGUUUUAUUUCUUGUAUUCUGUAUGUUAGUUUUCUUCAGCACAAUAAAGGUGCCUCCCUUAGUUCAUCCCUUUGUGUUUUGCGAGUCCUGUGUUUGGGUCCAAUCCUGCCUGCCACACAGUGUGACACGACAGUGUAAGUAUAUAUUUGACCAUUUGUGGAUUAGAUAAAAUAAAAAAAAAUUAAACUUGUGCACCCAAUUCUUUUUUUUUUUAAGUCAUUAAAGAUGUAUGGUGUACAAUCAUCCCACUAUGUAAAAAAAAAAGAAAAAACGCUCAACAAAAUAAUUUGAAGUCCCAUGACAAUCAUGCCCAUGAGCAGUAUAUAAAAUUUUGACCACAACGUCCUGCUUUCAUAUUUAAAAAAACAAUAUGU